GCAACAGCCAUUUUUCGAAUGUUUUGUUUAUAUUUACAAACACCUUAACAAAUUACAUGUCAACAGCAAGUUCCACGGUUUGUAAUGGUACAAACUAAAGUUAUUUCUCUUAAAUUGCACCAUUGAAGGAAUUUAAAGGCUUGUGAAAUGUCACGGUUUUAAUUCGAGUUGCUGUUUAGAUGCCCCUUAACUACCUGUGGUACUUUUGUACGACAUUUCAUGCUUGAGAUUUCAUCGCUAAAUGUAUACACACUUUCCUACCAUACUAUACAAUCAUGCACACAACUUUUUAUCUAGCAUAUAUUAUACAUGUAUAUUAAUUUGUUUACUACACAGGCAAAAUGUCUAUAUGUCAAUUCAGGUUAAUUCAUUCUGGUAAAAUUCAGGUCAAUAUUUCCAGGUAAAAAUGGCACGAAAUGGGCAGAGUUGUCAAUUCAUGUCAAGAAAUUGACAUGAAAUUAAAACGAAUUUGACAUAAAAAAAAAAAAAACACCAUUUUUUCAAGUCAAAUUUACCUGAAGACAAUUUGUCUGCGAACCUUUCACAAUUUAUAUUUAACGUAAGUGCACUUAAAUACUUAAAGUAAUAUGGAAAUCAUUCUUUUACAUUCAAUUGUAUUUACCAAUUGUUUAAUUUAUUAAUGCAUACCAUUGUUUUACAUUCCUUUCACUUAUGUUUAUUGCUAUUAACACAUUGUAAACGUGAAAUGUAAGUUAUACAUACAUUUGUACAUGUAAUCAAUACUCACAUAAAUAUUCUCAAUGAAUAUUCAGUUUCUGAAGUAUCGUUCCAAUAUCAUUAUCAUUUUUAUAUAGCACUAUGUUAUGUAUGAUGGCAACAAUUGAUAAUAGACAACGUGCAUACUGUGAUACGAUGGUAAAAUUCGAUACUGUUGUGGGAGACACCUUGUACAAUGUGAUACGAUGAUAAUGCCUUAUAAUGCUGUAGGAGACACUUGUACUGUGAUAUGAUGGUAAAGUUCUAUACUGUUGUAGGAGACAACUUUUACGGUUAUACGAUGAUAAAGUUCGAUACUGUUGUAGGAAAUACUUGUACACUGUGAUAUGAUGUUAACUAUAGGAGACAACUUGUAUACUGUUAUACGAUGCUAGUAUGUGGUACUGUUGUAGCAGACAACUUUUACACUGUGAUACGAUGCUAGUAUGUGAUACUGUAAAGCAGAUAACUUUUACACUGUGAUACGAUGAUAAUAUUUGAUACUGUUGUAGCAGACAACUUUUACACUGUGAUAAUACUUGAUACUGUUGUAGCAGAUAACUUUUAAACUGUGAUGCGAUGACAAUAUUUGAUACUGUUGUAGCAGACAACUUUUACACUGUGGUAAUACUUGAUACUGUUGUAGCAGACAACUGUUACACUGAUAAUAUUUGAUACUGUUGUAGCAGACAACUUUUACACUGAUACGAUGAUAAUAUUUGAUACUGUUGUAGGAGAUCAUUUGUAUACUAUGAUGACAUGUAAUUCUGUGAUACCUGGUGACUUUUAAGCUGAUUUAUGACUUGUGCCACAUCAGAUAUAUGCAAAGAAAUCCAUAUAUCAGUUGAAAAGUCUUGAAUUAUAAGAUAACAAUACUUCGAGAUGUUAAGAGAGAUUAGUCAUUGUCUCAUGUAUGGUUGCAUAAGUAUUUUUCAAUUAUGUUUUACAAACACGAUUUAUUAGUGAAUUUGCCUUAUAUAUAUUUAGAUAUGUAAGAUCUACAAAGAUAUCGAGUUGAUAUUUUGAGUAUGGUAUAUAUAGAUGCUGUAUUCCAUAGGGGUUAAAAUAAGAGAUAAAUAGUAAAACCAAUAUAGCUCAAGAAAACGCACCGAACCUAUUUAGAUAAACGGUCAAAAACAAAUGUAUUGUAUACGCGAACAUUAUUUUUGUAGGUAUAACAUGUGUACUCCACAUUAUUUUUGUAGGUGUAACAUGUGUACUCCACGUUAUUUUUGUAGGUGUAACAUGUGUACUCCACAUUAAUUUUGUAGGUGUAACAUGUGUACUCCACAUUAUUUGUGUAGGUGUAACAUGUGUACUCCACAUUAUUUUUGUAGGUGUAACAUGUGUACUCCACCUUAUUUUUGUAGGUGUAACAUGUGUAUUCCACAUUAUUUUUGUAGCUGUAACAUGUGUACUCCACAUUAUUUUUGUAGGUGUAACAUGUGUACUCCACAUUAUUUUUGUAGGUGUAACAUGUGUACUCCACAUCAUUUUUGUAGGUAUAACAUGUGUACUCCACAUUAUUUCUGUAGGUGUAACAUGUGUACUCCACAUCAUUUUUGUAGGUGUAACAUGUGAACUCCACAUCAUUUUUGUAGGUAUAACAUGUGUACUCCACAUUAUUUGUGUAGGUGUAACAUGUGUACUCCACAUUAUUUUUGUAGGUGUAACAUGUGUACUCCACAUUAUUUUUGUAGGUGUAACAUGUGUACUCCACAUUAUUUUUGUAGGUGUAACAUGUGUACUCCACAUUAUUUUUGUAGGUAUAACAUGUGUACUCCACAUUAUUUCUGUAGGUGUAACAUGUGUACUCCACAUCAUUUUUUGUAGGUGUAACAUGUGAACUCCACAUCAUUUUUGUAGGUAUAACAUGUGUACUUCACAUUAUUUUUGUAGGUGUAACAUGUGUACUCCACAUUAUUUUUGUAGGUGUAACAUGUGUACUCCACAUUAUUUUUGUAGGUGUAACAUGUGUACUCCACAUUAUUUAUGUAUGUAUAACAUGUGUACUCCACAUUAUUUUUGUAGGUGUAACAUGUGUGCUCCACAUUAUUUUUGUAGGUGUAACAUGUUUACUCCACAUUAUUUUUGUAGGUGUAACAUGUGUACUCCACAUUAUUUGUGUAGGUGUAACAUGUGUACUCCACGUUAAUUUUGUAGGUGUAACAUGUUUACUCCACAUUAUUUUUGUAGGUGUAACAUGUAUGCUCCACAUUAUUUUUGUAGGUGUAACAUGUUUACUCCACAUUAUUUUUGUAGGUGUAACAUGUGUACUCAACAUUUUUAAUCGCGUGUUUUCAUAUAUUAAUGAACGGUGUGACGGUAUUCUACACACCAGCUUUUUAAAACAUCGUGUUAUAAGGAAAUGUCGAUGGGCACAUUCGUUCCAUAUAGUUUUUUUUUUUGUAAAGUCAUGGCACAAACCAUCGUAGAUGCACCCCGUAUACCACAAAAUUACUCCACUACAUCAACUGGAUAUUUGUUUAUUUCUGUGUUGUCUCACGUUUAUGUCUAUUUCUAAUACUCAAGCUACUCUAAUUUGACUAUAUCUGUGUAAAAUGCAUAGCAAAUUGUCUUUUUAUGUUUUAAACUACAGCAUAUGUGGAACAUGAGUGGAACAUGAAAAUAUUUCAUAAAAGUGCUUAUAAAAAUAAUGUUGACUUAUGGUACUGAGUGUAUAAUUCAUUCCAUUGAACAACAACAGGUCACUUCUACACAUGCGGUACUGUAAUGGCUGUUUUUUUAAUGCAACAUUUGUUUAUAUAUAACAUUUGAAGAAAAGGAAUGUCUGUUUUUGUUGAAAUUAUGAAACAAAUCAUAAUUCUUUAUUGAGUACAGUAUGUUUGUAACGCAUUCAUGUUUCGCAAAAUUAGUCUAUUUUGCAUUCAGCGAAAUAUCAAAAUUUUUGAAAGUAACAACUUUUUCAGUAAACAAGUGUAAAAGUAAAUUUAGAUCAUAAAAAUUAUACACUUUUAUAUUGAUUAGUUCGCAUAUACGUUACAACGAAUUUUAAAUUUCAUUUUGUUAAAAAAUAAACUGUUCUAACCAUUU